UACGUAGGAUGCAAGCGUUGUCCGGAUUUACUGGGCGUAAAGCGCGCGCAGGCGGCACACCAAGUACGUCAUGAAAUCUCCCUGCUCAACGGGGAGGGUGUGAGGUAGACUGGUGAGCUAGAGGAGGGUAGAGGGGGGUAGAAUUGCUGGUGUAGCGGUGAAAUGCGUAGAGAUCAGCAGGAAUACCCGUGGCGAAAGCGGCGCGCUGGACCACUACUGACGCUGAAGAACGAAAGCUAGGGGAGCAAACAGG
rnacentral:rRNA from 1 species